rnacentral:rRNA from 1 species
UACAGAGGUCCCAAGCGUUGUUCGGAUUCACUGGGCGUAAAGGGUGCGUAGGUGGUGAGGUAAGUCGGAUGUGAAAGCUCGGAGCUCAACUCCGAAAUGGCAUUGGAAACUACCUUGCUCGAGGGAUGGAGGGGGGACUGGAAUUCUCGGUGUAGCAGUGAAAUGCGUAGAUAUCGAGAGGAACACCAGUGGCGAAGGCGGCUCACUGGCCCGUUACCGACGCUCAGGCGCGACAGCGUGGGGAGCAAACAGG